rnacentral:rRNA from 1 species
ACUCCUACGGGAGGCAGCAGUAAGGAAUAUUGGUCAAUGGGCGAAAGCCUGAACCAGCCAUCCCGCGUGCAGGAUGAAGGUCCUAUGGAUUGUAAACUGCUUUUAUCAGGGAAGAAACGCCUUCAUUCAUGGGGGUCUGACGGUACCUGAGGAAUAAGCACCGGCUAACUCCGUGCCAGCAGCCGCGGUAAUACGGAGGGUGCGAGCGUUAUCCGGAAUCACUGGGUUUAAAGGGUGCGUAGGCGGGGAAUUAAGUCAGUGGUGAAAGCCUGUCGCUUAACGAUAGAAUUGCCAUUGAUACUGAUUUUCUUGAAUUGGGUUGAGGUUAGCGGAAUGUGACAUGUAGCGGUGAAAUGCAUAGAUAUGUCAUGGAACACCAAUUGCGAAGGCAGCUAGCUGGGCCUUGAUUGACGCUGAGGCACGAAAGCGUGGGUAGCGAACAGGAUUAGAUACCCUGGUAGUCCACGCCCUAAACGAUGCUAACUCGAUGUGUGGAAGAAAUUUUGCGCAUCCAAGGGAAACCGAUAAGUUAGCCACCUGGGG